UACAGAGGGUGCGAGCGUUAAUCGGAAUUACUGGGCGUAAAGCGUGCGUAGACGGUCAUGUAAGUCGGGGGUGAAAUCCCCGGGCUCAACCUGGGAAUUGCAUUCGAGACUGCGUGGCUAGGGUGCGGAAGAGGGAAGCGGAAUUUCCGGUGUAGCGGUGAAAUGCGUAGAUAUCGGAAGGAACAUCAGUGGCGCACGCGGCUUCCUGGUCCAGCACCGACGUUCAGGCACGAAAGCGUGGGGAGCAAACAGG
rnacentral:rRNA from 1 species